GUUUCAGGACCCGCAGUUCCAGGACCCGCAGUUUUUGCAACAGCGCAACUCAAUGAAUUGGAGUUGUCAUUGCAGGUUUGCAGGUCGCAGAUUGCAGAUUGUAUCCGGACUUCGAUGACGAACGCUAUCAUUUAUGGUCUUGCGAGGACACAUAACGUGCCCGUGCUUCAGGCGGAACAGCUGUUCCUUGCUGGGCAACCCUUACAUCCAAGUGAAAGGGAGGAAUUUAAAAGGAAGCUCCAAAAACAACUGCUCCAACAAAGGAGACACUGAGGGA